AUUAAAGUAAUUAGUAAGAUAUAAAAUCAUCAUGGCUUAUCUUUUAAGCUAAAUUUUCAAUUGCAAGCGGGUUCUCAAUUCCCUGAGAUUGAUACCUUUCAUAUAGCAUAUGCUGGGAGAAUAAGAAUUGGACCUAUUGACACACAAAAUCAGUGAAGACUUUAGAACAAUGUAAAAUGUCAAGUUUGUGACCUUCGCUCGGUUACUCCGGCCACUAGUGAGGACAAAUAUAUAAAGAUAUAGAGAUAAGGAAGCAAACACAAGAUGUACGUGGUUCACCCCAAGUCUGGCUA
rnacentral:lncRNA from 1 species